rnacentral:misc_RNA from 1 species
AAGUCGUAACAAGGUUUCCGUAGGUGAACCUGCGGAAAGAUCAUUAACACGUAUCCAAACGUUAAAACUCCCCCCGUGAACCUUCAUCCUGCUCUUGUAACCCGCGUAGUUCGCAAUCUCUGAUAAAUCAUAGCCCGGAAAGUUGUAGUGAUUCAGAGACCUCUGGCUACGUGCGAACAUUGGAACAGUUACAAUCGAGCGGUAGUUCUAUAGGCAAUGAACAAAACCGAACAACUGUUAACAAUGGAUAUCUUGGUUCUC